UACGAAGGGGACUAGCGUUGUUCGGAAUCACUGGGCGUAAAGCGCACGUAGGCGGAUAUGCCAGUCAGGGGUGAAAUCCCGGGGCUCAACCUCGGAACUGCCCUUGAUACAGCAUAUCUUGAGUCCGAUAGAGGUGGGUGGAAUUCCUAGUGUAGAGGUGAAAUUCGUAGAUAUUAGGAAGAACACCGGUGGCGAAGGCGGCCCACUGGAUCGGUACUGACGCUGAGGUGCGAAAGCGUGGGGAGCAAACAGG
rnacentral:rRNA from 1 species